UAAGAGCAGGACUGGCAUGCGUCACGUUCUUGAGAGACUGUUUAAGGCCUCCAGCAGGGGAGCGUGGCUACUUUCCCACCCCUGACUUAAGACCGGUCUGUUAUGGGGAAGGCUGUCCUCUUCAGCGGGAGGUGAAGCUUCAGGAAGGAAGCAUGUGGAGCGGUGAGGGAGACACCCACCUAACCAGUCCCAUCACCCGAAUCAGCCCUGGCUAUCAGGGAGGUGAUGGACGUCUCAACCAGAAUCUGGACUUAGGAAAAAAAGCUGACACGAAAGUAGAAGUGGAUUCCAUGGAAGGAGGAAGGGGUCUACACGCCUCCUGCACUCUAGGAUUACAGGCGUGCAGCAUGACAGCCAGAUGAAAGGUGGAUACUCGUUACAGUUGCUGAGGAUGUGGGAGAAGGGAUACUCCUUCACUGCUGACUGGAGUAUAAAUUCAGUCACUUGGGAAAGCAGUUCAGAAGAUGGAAGUAUGUAGUAAAAUUGUGUCCUCUGA